AAGAAUUGCCGCACUUGCCCGCGACCAUUUUUGUGAGAACCUGGUUAGCAUUGCAUUGCAUUUCAAAGCAGACAUUUAAUUAGAAUUUUCUUUUCUAUGUCUGCAACUGGCAAUGAUUAUCUUGCUGAAAAGUGACAGCUGCUUUGCUUGGCACUGCAGUGGCUGAUAUUAUUAAAUCAAUAUUGCAACAGACUGAAUGUUAUGUACUGUUAGUGUGUCUCCAUGAUAUCACUGACAAAAAAAAUACUGCGGGAUAUUAGAAUUUAUUCUGUUAGCUAAUCAUUACAAAACUCUUCAGAAGAAUCCAAUUCUGAGAAAUUGACACCUUGCCUUAUUUAAUAUUUAUUAUUUUUUCAUACAGACUUCAUCUUAACAUUUAGUACAAAAGAAACUGAGCUCUGGUUUAACUCCCAUUCCAUGCAGUUUCCUCACAUUUUGCUUUUUUUAUUUCAGCAAACAAAAAUAUGAAAUUGUCUUCAUAUUAAAUGAUAGGCAUCAGAUUUCUCUGGGAUCAAUUCAACAUCUCUUCAUAUUUGAAUUCCAUCUGUUUAUCCAAGAUUGGAUAACAAUAGUUUUCAAUUAAAAUCCAAAUAAAGAUACAAUUGGGUGGAACUUUUAGAGUAGACCAAUUUCAUGUAACUUUUAAGUAUGAAGAGUCUGGAUAAAUCCAUGCUUGAAUUUAUAUAUUGUAUAUAUAGGAAUGAAGAAUUAUGUAAUUCUUCACUUGUAUGUAGCAUUUGACUUGGUUUUAUUUACAUCAAAGAUUUCUGCAUGGCUUUUCUAAGUUACAUGUGAAGAGGCUCUGAACCUGCCCGGUUUGGAUAGUUCAUUUUUUACAUGCAUGUAAUUAAAAUUAAUUACUGAACUUUCCAAAGUCAAGAAUUUUUACAAGCACAGAUUGCUCUUUUCUGCACAAUGAAAGAAAAUUCAGCAAAAGGCUCAUUUAAUAGCAGGGGGCAAGGUGAAUGAGGUCAGCUACAGUGGCGAUAAGUGCACUGUUGGAAGGCCUGGUAGAUGAGGUGUUCCAAGGCCAUUAAGAGAACAGGCAAGUAUCCAGUGAGUUGGAAGGGCUAGAGCAGAGGUGUCAAACUCACAAUGUCAUGUGAUGUUGUCGCAAUGUAUCGUGACUUUUUUCCAUUGUCAGCAAUGGGGUGGGCGCGGUUUCGGCAUGACACAUCCGGCCUGUGGGCUGGCAGUUUGACACCCCUGAGCUAGAGGGAAAAACCUAGUAUUUAAACCUUGGAGCACAAUUCCUCAUAGAGACUUUGAUUUCUAUGUACUGCAAUAAUGGAAAUCUUAUCUAUGUCUAUGUCUUCAUUCUUGUCUGCAAUGAAGUUAUGUCUCGCCCAGCACUGAAGGCAGGCUAACCACACAAUAAAAGCCUGGAAAUAACAUCAUCACUUUGUCAUAGACUUUUAUCUGAAGAUCCAUAAAGUUAUCAGCAAUUAACAACCUAUAUAGAAAUAGAAAUGUGUACUCAAGAAACAUUAAUGGAUGGGUUUUACCAGUGUAGAUCAGAAAGAAUGUGCUAUAAGAGAAGACAAAAUGGAACCAGUCAGAUGCUGAGUAAUAAAUGGCAACGCAUUUAAUUGCUUGCAGUUUCUUGGCUCUUUGGUAAUAGAGAAUUAGUGAGAAAAUAUAUCCAAAUCUUUGCAGUGCAAAUAAACAAACAAAAACAAAUCCACCCCAAACUGAAAUUAAUAGAUCAACAUAACCUAUUCUAACAUGUCAUAUAAACUAGAGACAGUAAUUUGUUUUAUUUCAAUAUUUAGGUAGGAAUAAGUCUUUAAAAGAGGGUUCAACCCCCUCACAGGUGAGUUAUCCUACCUUCCAGAAAGCCCUUCACAAUACAAAGCACAUAUGCUCAGAGUGUGUAAGGCCAUAGAAGGUAGAAGUGGGCGGAACCUGCAGAACAGAACUUUUACAAAAAUGCACAGGUAUCAGAAUAUCUUUAUCUUAUGACUAAAAACAGUAGGAAAAAUAAACUAAUUUAAAUUACAAUUUAAUUGGCAUAAGGCCAUAAAUCUCACCCUUCAACAGAUUUCAAACAUUACCUCCAGACCAUCCUCCAGUCCUACAGUCUCAAUAAUUAUUGCACAAAGCAAGGACAAAAUGAAUUGAGAAUCAUUGAACUGUUUUUACUUAUAUUUUAAGCAUUCACAGGAAUUGGUUGUUCCUGUUAAAUCCAAAAAUGCUGAGAAAGCAAUGUUGUGUUUAUCAGUAUUAAACUCUCCUGUGUGCUAAUCAUCUUCCCAGAUAGGCUCAGAUGGCCCAUGGAGACAUACUGUAAUUUAAUGAAUAAUAAGACUGAGCUGAUGUGGAAGUUUAGUUAUCAAUUAAACAAUAGAACAACGCUGAACUCAUGUAGUGAUAACCUGAAGAAAAAAUGCAAGUACAUUGUUAACUACAGUAUUGGAAAAUAGAUGGAAAGAAUUUUUAAUUCAUAAAGCUAACAAUUACUAUUUUUGUACUAUAGAUCAUCAUGCAGAAAAUCUAUGUGGUCUCUAAGAGUUUAAAAUGACUUGAUGGAACAUAAUCAAUCACUGUCACAAGAUGUAGCUGACAGGACAAAACAAUAUCUUUUAAAGCUGGGGUUCUUUCCCCAGGAAUUGGGGAAAAUAUACAAUCUUAUUUUCACUAACCUCUAAGUGAAAUGUAACUUGUUUUUCAAUAAUGAAUGUAAGCAACCACAUUAUUUAUGGCUUCUGGUCUAUAGGUUUCACAGACUCUCAAAGGGAUCCAUGAUACAAAAAGGUUGGAAACCCUUGUUCUAAAGUGUUGUUGUUAGAAUUGUAUUUUGGAGAGUUCUUCGUUUGCAGUGCAUGGAAGACAAUCACACACCUAAAUCAAUGGCAAGAGUUUUUCCAGAGCUUAACCAGAAUUUUUUUAAAAAAAAACUUGUGACCUUCCAAAAUUGUACUUUUUAUUGAUUCUAGGUAAAAUGACUAACAGCCAGGAAUAAGAGUAACUGAAAUCUAACCACAAUGAGAGAGUCAUGGCUUCCCCAGUAAUAUAACUGUAUCAGCAGUUCACUCCAAUCUAAUGGGGGCAGGGGAGUCUGGAAAAAUUAUGUGAUUAGAAGUUUGAGAUGGAAGAAUGCCAAUGUACUUGCUUUAAAUGUUCAAAACAGACAGGCUUGCUAAACUGGCAAAAAAUCUGAGUUGUGAGCAUUUCUAAGAGGGCUGCCCCCUUUGUAAGAGUUUUAAUUGACCCUAGUCCUACAAAAGAGGAACCAUCAUCUCUACCUCUCAAAAGUAUUUUUUUUUCUUUUAUUGUAACAGUAUGUUCCAGCAAGGAUUACUAAUUUAUUCUCUGUGGAGCAAUAUAGGACUCAUUGAGUGCUAUGUAACAUUAUCAGUGUGUGAGAGACUGUACAUUAUAUACAUUUUCAGCAUGCCUUCACUUCAGAUUUGUUUGAUUUUAUAAGUGCCAAAAGUAAAAACAGAUGUUAUGCUAUUCAAUGUUUGGAUAUCAAAACCUAUCCCACUAUAACUUAUAUGUCCCACAAGGCAUUUGGAUAAUCUAGUAUGUUUGGGGAUGGAUGAAGAGGCCAGAAAAUGCUUGGCUUUGGGGUUUUCAUGCCAUUUUUCCUAAAUGCUUGACAUUAAAUAUGAAUCAGAUUUAGACUUCAACAAUAUAGCCAAGUUUAGGAUUCAACUUUGCACAAAAAUCCAAGAAGUCAAGGCUGACCUGAAAUAUCAGUAAACUCUUAUAGCAAGUUUAUGUAGGAGCAUUUCCAUAAAAACCCAAAAAGCAAGUUAAGCAUGCAUAAAUACUGCUUAAGUAAUUGAGGCUCAAUCGUUUUUGAUCCAUAGGCUUGGUAAGAGCAGUGACUGAAAUUUCUUCCAAGGCUGAAAUUCUGUUAUGGGCACGUUCCAUUUCUCAUUGCUCAAUUCAAUGUAAAAUUCCAAAAUAUAGCACAAACAACCAUUUGUUGUUAAGGAAUUAGGAUCAAGUGACGAGGUCAUAACCACAAAUACUUUACAGUAUAUGUACUAUGCUCUUUCCAAUCUACUUCUAGAAUAAGAAACAUGGAUGUAUGAAUGGUUUUAAGGGUAGAAACAGUAAAUUUAUGUAUGAUGCAGCAGUACCUGCACUAAAGAGACCCAAUACAUAUUCAGAAAAAAAACUAAUUCCUGUUGCUCAGGGUUGGUAUUUGAGAAUAAACACAAUAAAGUUACAAAUGUAAGACAGAUUAGUAAGAGCAAAACAACCAGAGUUUAAAAAUACAAUACCAACAAUCAAGGGACAAACCAUUGAACACCAAAGAACAUCAAGUUCAUUUAUAAUGAAAGUUCCAAAUUUGAAGGACAUAACAGAGGUGCAUAAAGUACAGUAAGUUGUGGAGAAAGGUAACAGGGAAAAGUUCCUUGUCUUCACAAAGUGCAUAGUUAAGUAUCGGAUUUUUCCAUAGAUGAUCCAGGCCAGCUUUAUCUUCCUAAAGUGGCCAAUAAAAUGUUUCUGGAAAGUCCACAAGCAGAUUAGAGCAAUCUCCUGGCAUUCUCUUCUUCAAUGAUUAGUAGAAAGUGGGAUCUUCUCACAAUACUAGAGAUAAUGUACUGAUGUCACAACUAUAAGCCAUUCCAGGAGCAAUUGUCAUGAACAUGUUUAAUCCUUCCCCCCCCUUUAAAAGUUCCUAAGAUGGUGGCCGCUACCACCUCUUGAAAUAGCAAAUUCCAUAAUUGAAAUAUGUGCUGUAUGAAGCAGCACUUCUUAAGAGCAUUUGGAAUAGAAUAGAGCUGGAAGGGACCUUGGAGGUCUUCUAGUCCAGCCCCCUGCUCAAAUUCAGGAUAGACAAAACUUCCUUUUGUCUAUCCUGAGUUUCCCACCAUUCCAUUUCCUUGGUGGUUUAGGGUCCUAGUAUUAUGAAAAGUACAGGGCAAAACAUCUCCUUACCUAAUAUCUUUCUUGAUAUUAAUACCAUACUAUAAUUGCUUGUAGCUAUGUCAUGAUUUCUUGCUCAACUCUUUUUUUCUAAACUAUAAAACCUUAAAAACCCUACUUUCAGGGUUUUCCAAUCUUGGCGUCUUUAAGAUGGGUGGACUCCUAACUCCCAGAAUUCCCUAGCUACAAGGAGAGCCAGUUCGAUCUGAUGUUUAAGGCUAAAAAGGCUGUGAGUUCUAGUUCUACUCCCAUCUUAGCCAUGAGAGCCCAACUCAUUUCACAGGGUUGCUGUUGUGGGGAAAAUAGGAGGAGCCUUAAAAAGGAAUUCUGGGGGUUGAGGACUACUUAUCUUAAAGUGGCCAGGUUGAGAAAUACUGUUCUAUUCCCUUGAACAUAUUCACUCUCCUUUGUUGUACUUAUUGGCCCUCUUGUCAUCAAUAGCCUUCAAAGCCAGGUGCUCAAUAAUGUACAAGUGUUCACUGAUCUCCAGGAUCUAGGAACCUGGUUGGCUGGUUUAGAAUAAACUAAAACCUCCAGCUUUGGAAGUUUUAAUUUACUUUACAUCUAUCAGGUAGCCUUUCCCAAUGUGCAGAUUUUUGGUUUUUUGUUCUUUUUUUGCUUUUGUUUUUAUUUCUGGGAUCUUUAGAUCAAGGAUAGGUAAUCUCACACCUUUCAGAUAUUCUGAACUUCACUUCUCAGGCUUCCCAGCAUAACUAAUCACUAGAGGGUAAGUCAGCUGUAGCCAAACAUCUGGAGAGCACUACUGAAAUCUACUUUAUCCCCUAUUUAAAAAUAUGGAAAUGUGUCCUUUUCUAGGGUUACUGGAAAAAUUCCCAAAUUAAAACUGAAAUUAAAAACCCACACAACCUCUUUUCAUCUGAUGAGUUUUAUGCUGAUUUUUAUGCUUUUAUUUUUGUUCAUAAGAUUAUACUCAAGAUUAUGCUAAAUAAGAUGGGCAGCUAUAUAAAUUGUUUAAAUACAAAAAUGUUUUUCUGAACUGCUUUGCUGCCAUCCACUGGCCAUCCAUAUUCUUACCUCCAGAGCUGGUAGUGAACCCAGAAAUGCCGCCUAUGGCUACAAAUUCAAAUUGUAUGGCUUUUGGUCAUUUAACCAGACCUUGAUCACUUCCCAUUUGGAUUACUGCCAUGCACUCUAUAAGGGACUAUCCUUGAUAACUACCCAGGAACUAGAAUUGGUCCAGAAAGUAGACUUAACAUUCUCUCUCAACAUUUAAUAGCCACCAAAUUAUUAUAAAAGCAUGAAGCUUCUCCAUUCAUGAUUGGUUCUUUUUUUGGUUGGUUUAUUUUAUUACACAACAGAUGGAUGUUAAAUCCAAUAUAUAGUAUAACACUACCCAAAAUCUAUUUUGCAUAACAGGGCCAACACUGUUUGAAAGAUAUUAGAAGACAUGAUUCAAACAUACCCAAACACAAGACCUCUCUUAUACCAUAAAAGCAGUCUGAUAUUUUAAAGCAGGGGUGUCCAACUUUGGCAACUUUAAGACUUGUGGACUUCAACUCCCAUAAUUCCUCAGCCAGCCAUGCUUUAACUUUAAGCCCACAAGUCUUACAAGUUACCAAGGUUGGACACCCGUUUUAAAGGUUUCUGCCGGAGCCUUAAAAAGUUGCUGCUGCUUUAAGGACUCUAUUCAUUAACAUUAAGAAAACCUUUAAAGCACCAGCUCAUUUUUUCAGGCUUGCACAGAAGCUUGAAAAAGGGUGGCUCCUUUAAUAAACAGCAGGGAGUUGCUGUACUUGUGCAUGGUUCAAAGCAUGCUUCUAAAUCAUUUUCAAAGCUUUCUACAGAGUAAAACCACAAAGUGAAAGUUCUGUUGCAUAAGGUUAAUUUGUUGAUGAUGGCAUGAGAGAUCUUAGUUUUGUUAAUAGUUUACCGAAGGCAUCUCCUGUUAAAAGACAUAAGUUAGCAGGUGAAGGGAAAGACUUCGGCUUAAGACCCAGAAUAAACAGAGCCCCCUUGAAACAGAAAGACUUCUAAUGUAGGGGGAAAUGAUGUGCUUGUACGCAAUGUGCCUGUGUAACAAAUGAAUCCUAAAGCUGUUUAAGGACCCAUAAUUUAAGACCGAUGUAUUCGUUCCAGUUUAUAUACCAUAUUGGACUUUAUGCCCUUUGGGAUGGAAUUAGUGAACAUCUUUAGUUUCUUGUGCUGCUAAUAUCCCCAAGUCUGUUAGAAACGGUGUUAAGAGACACGCGGAGGGUUCAGGUCUACCGAUUUCACCCUUCGGCCAACAGCUACCCCUAGUGGCUGCUGCGGGAAGCAAAACUUAUCUUGCGCAUUUAACUCUCGCCAUCGAUUUCGCCGCGGUCAACAGGUUUAACCAGCGAGGUAGCUCCGAGACGAGAUCACGAACCAAGGCAUUAUUAACUCCUUUGUCUCCGGAUAAGGCCGGCUUUCCUUCCCGACCACGUGGACGACGUACCAGAGCCCGAAGGCGAAAAGGAAAGGCACCCAUUUCCCAAGCGAAGAAAGACCGAGCAGAAAGUUGCUUAUCUCAAGUCAGAUUAUUAGUCCAGCUCCCUCCUGUCUGCUCCAGGAAUGAGCAACCCCAGCAAAGUUGGUGCUCCUUGACCUAUUUUCACACGGGCUCUGCAAGCAAGUGAUUCCAAACACCCAGGAAGAGCCUGUUUUCCACCAGGAACAGAGAAGACCGUACAGUAAGAGGAGUUCCAGAAGAGGGAAGGGGAAGAGCACCAGAGUAUUUUCAGUACAACAUAAUGUUGGAAAGAAAUCAUGAAAAGGACAUCAUAAUCCAUCAGCAGGCUAAGUCUCCGCAAAUUGAACACAACAGGAUCAAGUUUGGUGCGCUGUGAAAGCCAGCAAAAGAAAUAGCUAGUUCAAAAUUGACCCAGAUCUGACUGAAAGUGCAGAAGAAAAGAUUCCUGGAGGAAAAUACACCCCUCUACAUCCCUAAGGGAGAAGCAGUUUAGUACUAGCUUGCAGGAUAACUUUCUGAAAACUAAACUGAGUGAGAGGAAUUAGAUGUGGCAGAAGAAGACAACAAAAGAAAUGUGGAGUCUGAAAGCAGGCCAGAUUAAGCCAUUGACUGCAGAGGAGAGGGGGAAAAAAUCCAUAAUGCAUUUCUAUGGAGGAAUAUCUAUGAUGAGUCUCAAUGAUCCAAGUCAUGGUUGUCUCAAAGGUACUUUUCAAAAAAGCAACUGAACUUUUUUUUUGAAGGGGGGUAGGUAUUAAACAUUUUGCUUCUUAUCCAAGAAGCUUCUUUAGUUCAUUCUUCAGAAG